GAUGAACGCUGGCGGCGUGCCUAAUACAUGCAAGUCGAGCGAACAGACGAGGCGCUUGCUCCUUUGACGUUAGCGGCGCACGGGUGAGUAACACGUGUAUAACCCACCUAUAAGACGGGGAUAACUUCGGGAAACCGGAGCUAAUACCGGAUAAUAUAUUGAACCGCAUGGUUCAAUAGUGAAAGACGGUUUUGCUGUCACUUAUAGAUGGAUCCGCGCCGCAUUAGCUAGUUGGUAAGGUAACGGCUUACCAAGGCAACGAUGCGUAGCCGAACUGAGAGGGUGAUCGGCCACACUGGAACUGAGACACGGUCCAGGCUCCUGCGGGAGGCAGCAGUAGGGAAUCUUCCGCAAUGGGCGAAAGCUUGACGGAGCAACGCCGCGUGAGUGAUGAAGGUCUUCGGAUCGUAAAGCUCUGUUAUUAGGGAAGAACAAAUGUGUAAGUAACUAUGCACGUCUUGACGGUACCUAAUCAGAAAGCCACGGCUAACUACGUG
rnacentral:rRNA from 1 species